GGGUGAGUAACGCGUGGGUAACCUGCUUCACACAGGGGGAUAACAGUUGGAAACGACCGCUAAUACCGCAUAACCCGCCGGUGCCGCAUGGCACUGACGGAAAAGAUUUAUCGGUGUGAGAUGGACCCGCGUCUGAUUAGCCAGUUGGCAGGGUAACGGCCUACCAAAGCGACGAUCAGUAGCCGGCCUGAGAGGGUGAACGGCCACAUUGGGACUGAGACACGGCCCAAACUCCUACGGGAGGCAGCAGUGGGGAAUAUUGCACAAUGGGGGAAACCCUGAUGCAGCGACGCCGCGUGAGUGAAGAAGUAUUUCGGUAUGUAAAGCUCUAUCAGCAGGGAAGAAAAUGACGGUACCUGACCAAGAAGCCCCGGCUAACUACGUGCCGGCAGCCGCGGUAAUACGUAGGGGGCAAGCGUUAUCCGGAUUUACUGGGUGUAAAGGGAGCGUAGACGGCUGAGCAAGUCAGAAGUGAAAGCCCGGGGCUCAACCCCGGGACUGCUUUUGAAACUGCGGAGCUGGAGUGCAGGAGAGGUAAGCGGAAUUCCUGGUGUAGCGGUGAAAUGCGUAGAUAUCAGGAGGAACACCAGUGGCGAAGGCGGCUUACUGGACUGUAACUGACGUUGAGGCUCGAAAGCGUGGGGAGCAAACAGGAUUAGAUACCCUGGUAGUCCACGCCGUAA
rnacentral:rRNA from 1 species